UCACUGAUACAUUUCACAACAUAGUCAAACCUGAGAGUCUUUUCUCAGUUACUAAGAAACUUUUGUCUGUCUUAGAUUUUUCUGAAGUCUGGAAGGACACAUUUUGGUCAGCGAGUUCCUGUUAUUCUGUGGGAAACCAGGCUUGCAGCUGUCAACAGAGACACAUUUUUGUGUGAGAGAAGAAUAUAUCCAUGGUUUGGUGUGUCGGUACAGAUCAUGAUGUGAAGCACAGCAGGUUGUCUAUGCAAGUGUCUACAAGAGCAAUGGCGACCAAACGAUUGAAUAGAUGGAGUUUUGGAUGCUGGAGACAUCUGGAUUAUGUAUUUUUCCUGCUCCUGCUCCUACUGUGCCACCCAGUAAUAUCGAGCACAACAAGUGGAUUUACAUCCACCACAGAAACCACAUAUUCAACAACAGUGACUGGAGGAACCACAGCUACCGAUACCACAGCACAUUUAUCUACUACCCAAAGUCCCGGUAGCUCAUCAACAGUGCCAUUAACAACAAGCUCAUCUACCGUUCUGAAUACAGCAACAACAAUGGAAACCACAGCCACAUCUUCUUACAUAAGCACAGCGAGCCCAGCAAUAACACUUACGACGAAAUCACACAGCACUGAGAGUCAGACAACUGAAACAACGCCACACACAUUCACUGAGAACACCACAAUCUCUACAUCCACUGGAAACACGACUUUUGCUGAAUCAACCACAAUCUCUACAUCCACUGGAAACACGACUUCUUCUCAAACAACCCCAGUCUUCAGAACCACUGAAAACGUGACUUUUUCUGAAACAACCACAAACUUCACAACAUUUACAGCAACACCCGAACCAUCAUCCUCCGCAAAUAUAACUGAUACAACACCAACUGUUAACCAAACAUUAACAUCGACCGCUACAGAACCCACACCUUGUGACUGCAAGAAUGCAUAUUACUGGAUGAUCGUUGAGGUAGCAAGAACACCUGAAAUUAAACCAACACUGAUCAAAGAAUGGCUUAAAGUGCUUUACAGAAGCAAACUAAAUUCAUGUGCAGUUUCCAUACAGACGGUAUUGGAGGAGAUCUCUGACGUCAGAAUAAUAGCAACUGUGCCUACCACAACUACCAGCAUUAGUACAAAGAAACCCAGGCUUAAAGAUGUGGAGGUCACAUGCGAUCCUAAAAAUAGUACACAGAAUGCACAAUGCAGUAUUCUUCUGCAGCUGAGUGCACCUGCCAAUGUUUGCUGCAUUAGAGACGCUGUGAUGAUGAACUCGGAAAGUGACAAUGUCAGUGUGGUGGGACAAAUAGAAAGAGUGGGUGUGUGUGCAGGUAACAUAACACAGAUCUCAGAUGGACAAUAUGACAAAUGCAAUCAGACAGUCAAAGUUGAUGAAUGUAGUGCAAAACCACAGAACAUCUCAUGUGGAAACAGUACAAAUGUGAUCUUUACACUGGAUUCUCAGGAUAGCUGCACUAUAAGUCCAAUGCCAACGUGUUAUUGUUCUUCACACUGCAAUAGCUCAAAUUUGUUCUAUUACAGCUUUAACAUUGAACUGAUUACGAUUACUAUAAUCAACAACCGUGAUACCCUAGUUCCUUCUAUGUUGAAUUACUCAGAAUGCACAAACACAUCAUCUGCUUGUAACAUUACGCAGACUUUCAUAAGUUACAAUCCGGUA
ensembl:lncRNA